rnacentral:rRNA from 1 species
GCACAAGCGGCGGAGCAUGUGGAUUAAUUCGAUGCAACGCGAAGAACCUUACCUGGGCUUGACAUAUGCAGGAUCGCUGCAGAGAUGUAGUUUCCCUUGUGGUCUGUAUACAGGUGGUGCAUGGUUGUCGUCAGCUCGUGUCGUGAGAUGUUGGGUUAAGUCCCGCAACGAGCGCAACCCUUGUCUUGUGUUGCCAGCACGUUAUGGUGGGGACUCGCGAGAGACUGCCGGGGUUAACUCGGAGGAAGGUGGGGAUGACGUCAAAUCAUCAUGCCCCUUAUGUCCAGGGCUUCACACAUGCUACAAUGGUCGGUACAGAGGGUCGCGAUACCGUGAGGUGGAGCUAAUCCCUGAAAGCCGGUCUCAGUUCGGAUUGGAGUCUGCAACUCGACUCCAUGAAGUCGGAGUCGCUAGUAAU